CCGAGUUUACAACUCCCAAACCCCUGUGAACAUACCACUUGUUGCCUCGGCGGAUCAGCCCGCUCCCGGUAAAACGGGACGGCCCGCCAGAGGACCCCUAAACUCUGUUUCUAUAUGUAACUUUUGAGUAAAACCAUAAAUAAAUCA
rnacentral:misc_RNA from 1 species